rnacentral:lncRNA from 1 species
AUGCUUGAAGGCCUGGUGAAGAAGAUAGCGAUUGAUUUUGAGGUGGAGAGCAUAGCAAAAUCAGCAAAGGCAUCUAAGGAAGCUAAGAUUAUUGAAAUUGGUACUGAUAUCGACCUUCUAAUUCGCCAGCCUUAAAAAGGGUUGUCUUUGAGACUAGGAUUUUUCUAUGAUUUGUAUUUGCUUUUAUUUGAAACAUUUCUAGCAGAUCUUCAGAUUUCUGAAUACAUAUUUGAAUAGUAACAGAUAAGAAAAGUGACUGCGCUCUUGCGAAUUCCAUUUUGAGUAGAAUUUGUGUUCACAACACUAAUGUUCUACUAUCCAAAACCAUGAGUCCAUGACACUAAUGUUCUUCUAUAUAUUGUUAUAUUAUAUUAAGAACAAUAACAAUGUUAUAAAGAGAGUAACGUUUACACAGCUUAAACGUCAUCAAUCCAUAGUUUUAACAAAAUAGUAAUGUAUGUUAUAUGGAAGCGGAAGUGUAUGAAAGCGCAGAAACGAGAUUUUUAAAAAAAUUAGGAAGCGGAUAUGUAUGGAAAGAGGGUACGUGUUAGAAGCGUAUCUAUAUAUACAUAUAUAAUAGUUUUUUAAAAAAAUCUUGAACUAAAAAUUAUAAUAAUUUUAAUUGUUUCAUAUUAAAACUAUGAAAAUAUACAUAAAUUAAAUUUAAAAUAAAUUAUUAUAUUAAGUAUUUUAAUACUUUAUAAUUAAUUGACAUUAUAUAUUUGAAUAUAUGAUUUAUCUUUAAUAAAAACCUCAAUGCAUAAAAAUAAUUUAUAGUAUUAAUUUUAAUAUUUUAAUAUUUCUAUUCUCUCUAUUCAAUACUAUUAAAUUUUAUAUUUUAUAUAAAUUUUAAACUAUAAUUUUAUAUUUUUAUUGAUAUAAGACAUUGUCUUUUUUUAAAGAAUACAAAGCGUGAUUUCAAAACGGAAUCGUAAGCUUCAGAUAUGUUUUUAAAGAAAAUAUUUUAGAGGCGUUUUGGAAGCGAGAUUCCAGUUCCGAUUUCGGUUCCGAAGCGGGAAGCAGACGUCCGAUGAAGCUUCCGUGCAACGUAGAUAGUAAUCAUAGUCCAACAAUAUCUAACAAUACUAAAAGCCAAAUAUACUCAAUGGGGAGGCAUGCCACGUCCUCAUAAAAAAUCGUCCACUCAGAUGUUGACAGCUCACACUCCUUGCCAUGUCAUGAAUAACUUCCCCGGGAUUUCAUAGACGUGUUUGAGUUUCAUAAAAUACUUGGGUCUUUCCUAAUUAAAAGCUAAUUUCCUCUAAGCUUACUUUAUGGCCCAGCUUAUCAGUACGAAAACCAACUCAUAUAUUGUUCAUCUUCCUCACCUCUAUGAGAGAAUCCCUUGACAUUUUGAUCUCCUCAGCUCAUCCCGUGUAACGUUCGCCUACCACUUUUAAUACACUUAAACCACCAUUGUUACUGCCUCAAUCAAAAGCCUAUGAAACUGUUGUGAUUCCCUCACCUCAGCACCCUAUAUAUAUCGUAUUCAAGCUUAUUUGUUCUCCACUACAGACCUCUAUUUUUUCAACGACGCCUCUCCUCGGUUGGGUGGAGUUCUGGUAGUCGUAAAGUAAGUUCAGAUUCACAGGAUUCUGUCAUUGACGGUGGCCGAAGUGGGAUUUUAGCUUCUGAUAGCGGCAAAGGCUGUUGAGUAUCACAAGCUUCUGAGGAUUAUGAUGGCUAUGCGUACCACAAAGAUGAUUGGAACAGAGUUUCAUCGAUGGCUUUAGACGGUGAAACGGUGGAGACGUUGGGACUGAAAUUAUUUGUGAGCUUUUACCCGUGAGUGUGGAGUCUGGGGAGUUUUGGUUCUGGUGAUGGGAAAAUUGGUUGAGAUUGAAUGGAUUACUCAGGAGUUUCAAAGUGUCUUCACUUUCUCCUUUCUCCAGUCUUCUCUUUUAACGCCUACAGACCUGUAACUGUGACUCUUUUUCUCACCAUCGAGGUCCAAACAUCAACCUUCUCUUAAACCCAAGGUACUUAUGUUCAUAUGCUGCUUUAAUCCCAAUAAUAACUUCAUUACUCCCAUGUGGAAACAUUGGCAACUUCAUUCAGAUAUGACAAGGAGUUUUGUGAACACAAUAGAUAAGUCAAAACGUUAUUAGAAUUGAAGUGAUGGAGUAAUGGGAGUUGACAAGGAGUUUUGUAAGGUAAUUAGUUUCGCUUCAUUCAAACUUAAUUCAGCCAUGACAAUAAGUUUUGUAAUUAUCUAAGGUAACAUGUAUCUUCUUUAAGUCAAACGGUUUAUUAUCAUGAUGUACGUACAAUUUACUUCCUUCCCCAAAACUGUCUAUACAGGAUGCGUAGAUGAGAUGAUGAUCUAUGUUGCAACAUGGCCAUGAUGAAGAUGAAAGGAAUCCAAUUUUCAGGACACUCAAGCGAAGAAGGACGAGCGUAGACAACAUGAAAGGAACAUUUUUCUCUUUUCAGUUCUCUUAUUUUUGCACACUAUUUUGGUUUGAGGGAGAAUUUUGUAUUUAUAUGUUUUGUGCUUUGAUUACUUUACUAAGUUGCUUUCAUAUGUGACUACAUCUAGCAACUUGCAUGAAAUUGAUAUUACAGAUCGAGCAUCUUCCAAGCAAGAUAGUCAAAUAGUGAAUAAUGUACUGCAUACAAAGGUAUAGCUCGACCAGAGUUUUUUUAUUUAUAUACCCAAAUGGUUUCUUGUUUGGCAGAAAAUCCUUAUGAUGCAGCUGACAAGUGGCUUCUAAAAGAGAAUCUUCCCGUCGCAUAUCGGCAGCAGAUUGUUGAUUUUAUAUUACAGAACUCUGGGCAGAAAGACUUCACUUUUAAUCCGUCUUUCCGUGAUCCCUUCACUGGCGGUAAAAUAACUAAUCUUUUUUUUUGAAAUGGUCUGAGAUUUUGUUUUCAGGUUUAUUGUAAUUUUUGUGAUCUGCCUUCUUUGUGUAACAGCAAAUGCUUAUGUGCCUGAGCAAGCAUCUCAUAUAGCUGGUAUGAAUACACUGUCUGAGACUCUGAUUAAUUUUUCACAUAAUGCUUAAAUGAUCUCAGGCUUUUAUAAUAUUCGUCCUUUCGACUCAUGCACUUUGACCCUUUUCUGCUGCAGCAACACCGGCAAAACCUUUAUACAAGCACAUUCCUAAAGUACGCUAGGUUUCUUCUUUCUUUAUUCCUCUUUGGUGUUUCUAGCUACUGAUCCUUGUUUCUUCCAUUGUUUACCCAGAGAGGCGUGCUAGUUUUUGAUGUUGCUCAAUAUGAAGGGAUCCUGAAAAAGAUGACAGAGUUUAACAAUACUCUACGAUCAGACCCAGUAAGAUCUCUCUACUAUUCUACUAAUUUCUGGCACACGACCACAGCUGCACCAAGAACGAUCAGUGAUUAUUUGACUUAUACUAGUGUUGGUAAUUUUUGUGUUUUGAAAAAAAAUUCCCCUCUUUUGAAGGUAAAUACUGACAAGUCCAUGACAGAAUCCGAAGUAGCCAGAGUGGGCGCAAUCGUUAAGAUACUCAAGGACACAUCACAUUACCAUGCUACCAAUUUUACUGACAUGGACAUAGCUUUGCUUUUGAAUGUGAUACAAGCAUGGCCAGCUGCGAUGAUGUUUCCCGGUAAGUAUUCUCUUCUCAGUCAAUUAUUCAAAGAUAACUGUUUAGUACGUAUUUAGCUUUCAGUUGGAGCCAUAUAGCUAAAAGUCAGUUGAUUCUCUGAUAUACUUAAACAGCAAACUUAAAUGAGAUAUGUUUUGGUUUAAAUGAAUAGUAUUCUUGGUUUUCCAUGUGUUUUUCUUGAUGCUUCUUGCAGGCCACAAAUCCUUUUACCGUUUUGCUAGCCACUCUAUUUUGUGACAAUCAUUGGUUUAUAGCUCUUAUGGUUAUGGUUUUUGAAAAUGCAGCUACUGAUUUAGUCAGGAUGCUUGUUUUGCAUCCUCAUGGAGCAAGUCUACUGUUUAAGCAUGUGGAAAACAACAAUGGUAAUCAUCUUACCUAAAGCUAUGGUUUAUCAACAUAUAUUAAAGGUAUCUGCACAUGUUUUUUAUUAACUUAUAUAUAUCUGUAAAAUAAAUUCAAUCAGAUCUGCUUCUGGAUGUUAUAAAGAAGGUCACAGAAGAUUCAGCACUUCCUGCAAAUCUUCUAACAACUGUUCGUGUCCUUGUUAAUCUAUUCAAGAAUCCUUCAUUUCAUCACUGGCUACAGAGGCAUCAUAGUCAAGUAAGUACUAUUUGGUUUCUAUUGUUUUAUAUCACAAUUAAAAUCUGUGAUAAUCUCCAUGAACCAGCAGCUAUUGGUUUCUCUGUCUAGUAUCCGUGUAUGAGCUGCGUCUGUGAAUGCGUAGAAAUGAAGUUUAUAAUUUCAUUGUACUUUAGUGCCUAUAGAUUCAUGUUUGUGUGUGUAUAUUAUGAUGAUUUGAAGAAGUGGUUUCUCGGGUACUUAUCCCUUUUAAUAUGUGAUGUCGUUCGGUGCAGAUUCUUGAUGCCUUCUCAAACUGUUAUUCAUCCCCAAAUAAGAAUCUGCAGUUGGCGUAUUCGACGUUGCUUCUCAAGUAAGAUACUUUUGCGCUAUGAUCAAUAAUACUCACGGUUUGACACAUAAGAUCAACACCAUGAUUUAUGCUGUUUUCGCAGUUAUGCAGUGCUAUUAAUAGAGAAGAAAGAUGAAGAAGGCCAAGCUCAAGUCCUUUCAGCAGCAUUGCAGGUAGGUCUAAACUUGUUAUCCCAUCCAUAUCUCAUCAAUGAACUGAAUCUCAUCUGUUGUAGUAAAAUCUGAGAGAACCAAUGUACCAAAAAGUUUCUCAUAGAACCAAAUAAUGUAUUAUUAUCUUUGCGCUGAUAUCUCACAUGGAACUUUAAACAGAUUGCUGAAGAGGAAGCUGCAGAUGUUGAUUCCAAGUUUCGGAGUUUGGUAGCAAUUGGCUCGCUGGUUAGUUCUCAGAGCAUUAGAGUUCUAUGCUUGUUGGUUACAUAAUUUUUUAACCAGUGUAUGUGGUUUCUGGAAUGACAGAUGCUUGAAGGCCUGGUGAAGAAGAUAGCGAUUGAUUUUGAGGUGGAGAGCAUAGCAAAAUCAGCAAAGGCAUCUAAGGAAGCUAAGAUUAUUGAAAUUGGUACUGAUAUCGACCUUCUAAUUCGCCAGCCUUAAAAAGGGUUGUCUUUGAGACUAGGAUUUUUCUAUGAUUUGUAUUUGCUUUUAUUUGAAACAUUUCUAGCAGAUCUUCAGAUUUCUGAAUACAUAUUUGAAUAGUA